AUUACCUAUACCUUUGAACAUAUAUUAUACACUUAGUAUUUAAGAAUGUAUUAUGAACAAAUAUGGGCAUGUGCAACAAACAAACAGCUACCAACCGCCGAGGACUUUGUAAUACUGAUUUAAAAUAGGUCAUGAACUAGAGCUAAGGGAAGAAUGUAGAGAGGAGCUCAUUAGAGAACACAGGACGGUACAUGACUUUGCCGUGCAUAGUCAGGCAAAGUGCCUUCUAAGUGCGAUCAAUCAUGGUGAAUUUUAAAGUAAGCCACAGAAUCUGAACAGUAAAAUAUGGUUCGCCAUAUGAAUGGAAAAAAUUAUAUGUUUUAAUUGUAAACAUACUGAUUAAUUUAAUAUCGUUUUUUUCGAAAGGCUAAUAAAUAGCUAAAACGACUUUUACAAUUUCGACGAUUUACUAGUAUAUUUUAUGUAGUUUUGGUAAUCAUUGACGUCUAUCACUUAGUAUGGAAAUUAUAAAAUAAAAAUAAUACACCCGGUAUAAA